GUGGCAGGGGCGGCGGUAAUACGAGUGACCCAAGCAUUGUCCGGAAUUAUUGGGCGUAAAGGGUCCGCAGGUGGUUUUGUAAGUCGACAGUCAAAUUUCCCGGCUCAACUGGGAACCUGCUGGCGAAACUGCAAGACUAGAGACUGGGAGAGGCAGACGGAAUGGUAGGUGUAGGGGUCAAAUCCGUUAAUAUCUACUAGAACACCAAAGGCGAAAGCAGUCUGCUUGAACAGUUCUGACACUCAGGGACGAAAGCGUGGGGAGCGAAUGGGAUUAGAUACCCCAGUAGUCCACGCCGUAAACGAUGGGCACUAAACAUUGGUAGUCUCGACCCUAUCAGUGUUGUUCUACUCAAGGUAACCCCUUAAGUGCCCCGCCUGGGAAGUACGAGCGCAAGCUUAAAACUCAAAGGAAUAGACGGGGACUCGAACAAGCGGUGGAGCGUGUGGUUUAAUUCGAUUCUACGCGAGGAACCUUACCAGGGUUUGACAUCUAGCCUAUGUCUCCGGUUAAUCCCGGAUUCUUAGUGGCUAUGACAGGUGAUGCAUGGUUGUCGUCAGCAUGUGCUGUGAAGUGCACCGUUAACUCGGGUAACAUGCGCAACCCUCGUUCUGUGUUGUUUUUUCACAGAAGACUGCCGGCGUUAAGUCGGAGGAAGGCGGGGAUGACGCCAAAUCAGCAUGUCCCUUACACCCUGGGCUACACACGCGCUACAAUGGCCAGUACAACGGGACGCCAAAUCGCAAGAUGGAGCUAAUCCUAAUAAAGCUGGUCCCAGUUCGGAUUGUGGGCUGCAACUCGCCCACAUGAAGUUGGAAUCGCUAGUAACCGUGGAUCAGCCUCGCCACGGUGAAUACGUUCUCGAGUCUUGUACUCACUGCCCGUCAUAUCAGGGAAGCCGGUAAUGCCCGAAGUACCACGUUCGUGGGCCUAAGGUAGGACUGGUGACAAGGAUAAAGUCGUAACAAGGUAACC
rnacentral:rRNA from 1 species